CAGGAGCGCCCCCUCUCCACCCCCGGGGCUUCCCAGGUCGCUCACUCCUCCCGCACCCCCUCAGCUCUGCGGGAUACCGAAAACACACCACGUCUGGGGCAACCAGGGCGGAAACUGUCAAGAGGAGAAAAGAGAUCGCUGGAGAUGGCGAGCUCCGAGACUCCCUCUAUCUUCUGUUUUCAGAGCAACUCUAUGCCCAGAGACUGAAACGAAGAUCAGCGAGAUGAUCCUGUGCCUACUUCUGAGAAUCUCUCGGGAACAGCACUCGUCUCCAUCUGCAGCCAGACUGAGAAGAGACAAAUGCGAUUAUCCACGUUGGGGAAUCGCAGGUAGCUCCCUGCCAGCCCACCCCAGAACUGAGGAGAAACUAAAAAGGAAUUCGACCUGGCCCAACACCCCAAGGAAGGAGGAGGAUGGGGGGACGUGGCACUUUUUACUUCGGGAUGGGACGCCCAGUGGGUUUCCAGAUUGGUUUGAUACAUCUGUGUCUAAAACAGGUUUUAGGUCUUGAACCGCCAGGGACAGCCAAUUUCUGGUGUGGCUGAAAGAGGUGGCUUUCAGCCCCUUCCCUGCUUUCUCUGAGAAGGAUCCAGAAACCACUUGGCAGGGCAGUUUCUACUGAAGAAAACUUUGGCCUGUUUGGUUGAUGACUAUCUAAGCUGGUUGUAAUAUGGCGUACUGCAUCUAGUUCUGUGUGGCUGCUAAUUGUCAAUUCCCACUGGUAAUCUUACUAUUAAACCUGCAGUCUCAUCCAUAAAAGAUAUACUGGAGAGGCAUUAAUAAUGUCUCGGUGAUAAAGUUCAGAUAAUUAACAGCUCUUAAUAAUUCACAUCAUUGUAAACAUCAUUCUGCACCUCCCUUCCAUUGAAACACACCCAUCACAUAGUAGGUGUUUAAUAAUAUCAAAGGAAAGUAGAGAAUUGUAUCAAUAUUACCUUGACCCCAAACUCCAAUAUGAAGGGACAAUACAAACUGAAUGAGUAGAAAACAUUCAGGUGGUAUUAGCCUGACUUCUCUGUCUCAGUGCUCAAUUGACCAAUUCUUUCUGACUGCCCAAAUACUGAUGAAAUCAGUACAUUUUUAACAUACACCCCCACCUUUCUUUCAGAAAGCUCACAAAGUUUGACAAUAAAAAAUAUUAUUAUAUACCAGAAGGUGGCAUAAAUAUGUGUAUUUAGGGGGUUGGGAUGGGAGAAAGAAGUAGGGAAUAUUUUCCUUUUUCUACCUUCCUAGUUUGGAAAAAGGCUUUUUAAAAAUGGGGGGGGGGGCUUGUUAGAUAAUUCCUUAAGAUGAACCUCUAUGUGCCAAACUUCACACAUGAUUUGUGUUACUGUUACUGAUAUUGGUGUGAUUUCAAAUACACAACGCUCUUUGCCAUGGUCUGUGUGUUAAAUCAGCAAAACCUGUGGUCCACUCUUCCGAGUGAUGUAAAUGAGAUGUGAACGGUUCUGAUACCUUAAUCCAGUCUGCAAGGUUCCCUGGCUUUAGCCUGUCUGUUGGCGCCUACAAACAAUGCCCCGAUUGUCUCCUCCAUCCCAAAUCAGAUGUGUGGGUUGCCCCAUACAUCAAAGCACAAGAUUUCCAGAACAGCCUUCACACCAUUUACAAUUGGUUAGCCUGUUAAUAAUGUUCUUGAUGUAAUUGACCUAGCUUGUCACUCUUGACUUUUCUAAGUAAACAAAUAUAUCAAAGUGCACAGUUUCAUAAAUAAGCGAGGGCCUCUGGAGAAGUGAGUAUCUUAAAAUAUAUCCACUGCUCCAUAUUUAUUUUAAAAUAUUUUAAACAAUUUUUCAUAUUAAAUUUCACCAAUAAUUCUAUUUGGGAUACAAGUGGCUCAAAACAUAUCCCUGGCUCCUUUUUAGGUACCAGUAGCAACUCAUUAACAUUUUUCUGGUUAAGUCUAUUCCCCUGAGCCUUCAACUGGUUCCUUUCCUAUUCUCCUUUGACUAAGCUAGUAUUGGUUCACCCUGGAAAGACCUUCCUGAAAAUGGCCCUAGUGACCUUAGUCAAUUAAGACAGAAUCCAUAUUCCCUUCAGCGGCAAAUUCCAGCUCCAAAAAGCCAUUCCUCCUAACUCUCUAAAACAAUUACUGCUUCUGCAAUUUAAAAAAAUUGGGACCGAAAGUGCUUUCCCCAAGGGAAAAAUAAAAGUGAGUUAGAUACAUUCCUUGACUGUCAAUCAUUGUUACUAAAGUAUAAAUUACCGGGAUUGGGGAAGCAUUUGAAACCUGGAAAGCACAGUGAUUAGGUUUAUAUAUUUUCCUUCCCUCCUGCCCCUUGUCUGCUUACUAAUUAAGGCUUUCCAACUUUUCAAAUAUUUGGAAAGAUGGAAGCCUUCCUUAGUCUCCGCUCGUUGACAAAGGGCAAUAAUGUUUGCUUAAAAAUGGUUAUUUUACUUUGAACUACUGAGUUCUCUCACAGGUGAUGGCUUAGAAAAUCUAUACUUUGUAGAAGAGAUAAGCCUAAAGCCAUUUUUUGCAGACUGUUCUCUCCCUUCCCAAAUUCUCCAGGACUCUCCCUACCUCUUUAUCAAUCCCAGGCUUCCCUCUUGAUAACACUAGUUUGUUUUCUCUUAUUCCGACCUAAUUCCUGGGAACCUCCAAGUGAGCUUUGACUCCUCUCUCUCACCACUGGCCCUAGCUCUCUACAUCUUCACAUACUUGCCAAGUGCUUUAAAUUCUACCUCUGUGACCUGUGCCCUUCCUUUCCAUAGCCACCACUCCAGUUCCAGACAUUGUUCACCUACACCAUUACAGUAACCUUCCAAAUAACUGGCCUUUAGUCUUAUAACCAUGCUAAUCCAUCCCAAAUAACACUGCCAAGUUAAUUACCCUGAACUACAGUUCUCAUUUCCCACCAUGUCACUCCCCUGCUUACAAGACUUUAAUGGCUCCCCAUUGCCUAUCCAAUUAACUACUAACUAGUCAACACGGUAUUCAAGGCUCUACUUCGCUUAUCUCUGCACUCUUGCACCAGGGAUGGCAAAUCGAUCUCCUCUCAUGAAGGAACUCCAGAGGUUGGUUGGAAAGGUGUGGGCUGUGAUUAAUUAAUGCCAUCUCCCAUGGGUGGAGGAUUGGGACUGUGACAUUCAUGCAGAGUUUGCCAAACUGCCUUACAUCCUUACAUAAUCCCUGCAAUCCCUGUGUAAUCCUCAGACCAAGCCACGUGCUGCUUCCUACGCUUCCUCCUGCUUGUAGUGCGGGAGACGGGGACAGGUGCCUCUUUUCCCCAAAUGCUCUUCUUGCCUCCUCUGUCUGCUUAAACCCUACCUAUCAAGGUCCAUUCUGAAAGGCAACUCUUCUGUGGAACCUUCUCUGAUUUACCCCAAACCAAAUAUUUGAGCUUCAUACUGUUGACCCUUGAACAACACAAGGGUUAGGGGCACUGACCCACCGCAGUCAAAAAUCCACGUAUAACUUUUGACUCCCCCAAAACAUCACUAAGAGCCUACUGUUCACUGGAAGCCUUACUGAUGACAUAAAAGGUCAAUUCACAUUUAAUUUGUCUAUGUUUCAUAUGUGGUGUUCUUGGGAGUAAAGUAUGCUAGAGAAAAGAAAAUGUUAUUAAAAAAAAUCAUGAGGAAGAGAAAAUACAUUUAGAGUACUGUACUAUAUUUAUUAAAAGAAAAAAAGAAAGAAAGAAAAUCCACAGAUAAGUGGCCCUGUGCUGUUGAAAUCUGUGUUGGGCAAGGGUCAACUGUACUUUGCACCCCUCCUCUUAAGGCACUUAGCACACUUUAUCUACUUUGUGCUGUUCUUGGUUGAACAUUUGCCUUACUCUUCCUGGUAAAAGAUAUGUUCCCUGAAAAUAGGGACUCUGCCCUUGCACAUAGUAGGCAUUCAUUAGAAUUAGUGGAUUUGGGGAUUGAUAAACUAAUCAUAAUGUAGCAUGUCCACACAGUGCUCCAUUACACAACAAGAAUGAAAACCUAAGCAUUUCAACUUUCAAUCACUUGAAAUAAGCAUUUCCUUCCUGGAUAAAAGAUUAGUUGACAUGUAUGGGCUGUUAAAAUUUAUAUAUGCAAAAAACUUGACAGUUAUUUUCUUUGCAUUUCAUGGAGAGGGAGAGCAGGAAAAUUAUGGAAAUAUGUAGUAGAAUAUCCUUGGGAGAGGGGAGCUUUCUACAACAUGCCUAAGAACAAAGAAGAUAGAAAAUUAAAACCGAGUCCCAGACAACAAGUUUCUUUUCUUUCAAAAAAGCAUCAAGAAGCUGAAGCUGAACUCUUCGGGAAAUAGACAAAACUCAAAUGAAAAAGCAGCACUGCUUUUGGUAUGGGAGGGGCUCUGUCCUGCUGCAAGGUUUGGAGGUUCAGAGGCUGGCCAGCCUACUGUUCAAAUAACAGAAGGAAGCCUGUAAACCUGAGGUCCUCACAGGUGGGAACAGGAGAGCCAGGCUCGCCAGAUGCUAGGAAAUAAUUAAGAAGAUUCACUGUGGCUAAUCCCCUGCAACUCUCUUCCCAUUCUGUGAAAGAGAGAACUCAGAUGCAGAGGACUACCUUGCUCCAGACCACCCAGUUAAUCAGUGGCCUGACCUGGUAGCCUCAAAGCGGGAAUUCCAGACCCAGCCCUGCCACUGAGGAGCGGUGGGUGGACAGUAAGUCAUAAUCCUUUCUAGGUCCAUUUCCUCAUCUCCAGAUGAGGGUUGUUGGGAAGAUAGAUGAGAUGGUCCUUCCAGAAUGUUUGCCACUCAAAUUUUUGCUAUUAUUCUUAGUCAUCUUAUAGGAUUUAAUGAAAUACUAUAUAAAACUGCCCUGUCCAUUAUGGUAACCACUAGCUAUGGGUGGCUGUUGAGUACUUGAAAUGUGGCUAAUCCAAGUUGAAAUAUAUGAUAUAUAUUAAAACCCAUAUAGAUUUCAGAGACAGUAUACAAAAAUGUAGUGUCUCAUUAGUAAUUUUAUAUUGAUUGCAUGUUGAAAUGACAGUAGUUUGCAUCUAUCAGGUUAAAUAAAAUAUUCUGUUCAAAUUAAUUUCAUCUCAAUUUAACUUAAAAAACAAUCUGGCUCCUGGGGACACCUUGGUCAUUCAGUCAAUAACGUCUGCCUUUGGCUCAGGUCAUGGUCCCAGGAUCUUGAGAUCGAGCCCCGCAUCGGGCUCCUUUUUCAGUGGAGAGCCUACUUCUCCUUCUGCCAGCUGCUCCCUCUGCUUGCUCUCUCUCUCUGACAAAUAAAAAAAUUUUUUAAAGAUUUUAUUUGUUUAUUUGACAGACAGAGAUCACAAGUAGUCAGAGAGGCAGACAGAGAGAGAGGAAGGGAAGCAGGCUCCUCGCUGAGCAGAAAGCCCCAUGCGGGACUUGAUCCCAGGACCCCAAGAUCAUGACCUGAGCUGAAGGCAGAGGUUUUAACCCACUGAGCCACCCAGGUACCCCACAAAUAAAUUUUUUUUAAAAAUCUGACUACUGAAAAUAUAAAAUUCAUAUGUGCUUUAUACAUCUAUCAGAUAGUGCUAAUAAGGAACAUAUAUUACACAUAGAAGGUAUAUGAUUAUUUAAUUAGAGUAAUUAUAGUGUUCAACUGGGGUACCACUGGGUCAAGAGUUACAUUACGUCUAUCUUGGCAUUUUACAAAAUCUUCAUUGAGCUCCUAUUACUCUAUAGGGAAAACAGAGACAGAUUAUGUCUUACAGAGAAGGUAAGAAGUACACGCCAAAACUAAGUGGCAUUCAAUGAUGAGGCUACAACAGCCCUAGAGACGAGCAUCUAAGUUGCUAAAAGUCUUGCUCAGGGAAUGGAACACAAGGGACCCUGCCCUGGGCAUCUACCAUUCCCUUUGUUAGCUUCUGAGCUAACAAACUGGGUGUGGAGACUUCAAUAAGAGGAAAGCAUGUGACAACAUGAAAAUGCCAAGGAACCUACAGGGGUUUCCUGCAGCCUAGUGUUUGCAACCGGAAACACGUAAGCUUCACCUGGGUGAAGUGGAGGUGAUGUGCUGGGUUCGUUGUCCUUGGUAGAACCAUCAUAAUCAUACUGAUUCUGAGCUCUCCAAUAUUUUUGGCUGGUUUUGAAAAACAUAAGGGUAAAGAAGGCUAGAUUGUAAGCUCCUUGAAGGCAGGGACCUUGUCUCACUUGUUCACCCGGGCAAGCCCUGUGUCCAACACAUGAUGAAUGUGAUUUUUGACAACUGAGUGAAUGGAUAAGGUAUGGUUUAAAAAAAAAAAAAAAAAGAAACUGAAUACAUCAACAAAUAAAGGAAUAUAAUUUAUUGAGUACCUGUGGAUUCUAGAUACUUUCUCUCCUCUCAUAAUUAUUUUAUAGAUUAGAUUCUUCCACAUUGCCAUGAAACAACUUAUUUCUUUAAAGUUCCAUCUUCCCAUCUCUAGAAUGGACAUGAUAGCCUUUGUAUUUUUUUUUAAUUAUUUAUUUGACAGAGAGA